GAGUUUGAUCGUGGCUCAGAUUGAACGCUGGCGGCAUGCCUUACACAUGCAAGUCGAACGGCAGCACGGGAGCUUGCUCCUGGUGGCGAGUGGCGAACGGGUGAGUAAUGCAUCGGAACGUAUCCUGGAGUGGGGGAUAACGUAGCGAAAGUUACGCUAAUACCGCAUAUUCUGUGAGCAGGAAAGCGGGGGACCUUCGGGCCUCGCGCUCUUGGAGCGGCCGAUGUCGGAUUAGCUAGUUGGUGAGGUAAAGGCUCACCAAGGCGACGAUCCGUAGCAGGUCUGAGAGGAUGAUCUGCCACACUGGAACUGAGACACGGUCCAGACUCCUACGGGAGCAGCAGUGGGAAUUUGGACAAUGGGGCAACCCUGAUCCAGCCAUGCCGCGUGAGUGAGGAAGGCCU
rnacentral:rRNA from 1 species